AAACCAGCACCUCAAGUGGUCAGGAGGAUUAUUGGGCCUAAAGCAUCCGUAGCCUGCUUUGUAAGUUUUCGGUUAAAUCCAUAUGCUCAACAUAUGGGCUGCCGGGAAUACUGCAUAGCUAGGGAGUGGGAGAGGUAGACGGUACUCGGUAGGAAGGGGUAAAAUCCUUUGAUCUCUCGAUGACCACCUGUGGCGAAGGCGGUCUACCAGAACACGUCCGACGGUGAGGGAUGAAAGCUGGGGGAGCAAACCGGAUUAGAAACCCGAGUAGUCC
rnacentral:rRNA from 1 species